GCAGGACAGAAUGGAGUCCACCUUGAUCUGUGUGUUACUCUUGCUGAAUACACACAUCAACUCUGGACACUCUGAAGAUGAUGAUGGAGUGGCGAAGGCUGUUCUGACCAUACACCCCAACAGCUCCCAGAUAUUCAGUGGAGAAUCUGUCACUCUCAGAUGUGUCAUACAGGGGGAGGAGUCACUGACAGUGAGUACAGAUGGUUAACACCCAUUUCAGAUCAAUGUCCACAGAAAGAACAUGAAUGUAUUAUCAGUUCAGCUGAGUUUUCCCACAGUGGUGACGACAGAUGUCUGGGGUCACAUCAACAGCAGGAUUCUAAACGGAGUGAUGUAGUAAGACUGACAGUGACACGUACGUCAUCUUAUCUCUCAAUCACAUCUGUG